UGGGGAAUUGUUCGCAAUGGGCGCAAGCCUGACGACGCAAUGCCGCGUGGAGGAUGAAGAAUUUCGGUUCGUAAACUCCUUUCGACCGAGAUGAAUGUCCGCUGACCUAACACGUCGGCGGGGUGACAGUAUCGAGGGAAGAAGCACCGGCUAACUACGUGCCAGCAGCCGCGGUAAUACGUAGGGUGCGAGCGUUAAUCGGAAUUACUGGGCGUAAAGGGCGCGUAGGCGGCAUGACAAGUCACUUGUGAAAUCUCUGGGCUUAACCCAGAACGGCCAAGUGAUACUGUCGCGCUAGAGUGCAGAAGGGGCAAUCGGAAUUCUUGGUGUAGCGGUGAAAUGCGUAGAUAUCAAGAGGAACACCUGAGGUGAAGACGGGUUGCUGGGCUGACACUGACGCUGAGGCGCGAAAGCCAGGGGAGCAAACGGGAUUAGAUACCCCUGUAGUCCCUGAGCGGGCUGGCAAGGCGCAU
rnacentral:rRNA from 1 species